ACUCCUACGGGAGGCAGCAGUGAGGAAUAUUGCACAAUGGAGGAAACUCUGAUGCAGCAACGCCGCGUGGAGGAUGACGCAUUUCGGUGUGUAAACUCCUUUUAUAAGAGAAGAAAAUGACGGUAUCUUAUGAAUAAGUCCCGGCUAACUCCGUGCCAGCAGCCGCGGUAAUACGGAGGGGACAAGCGUUAUUCGGAAUCACUGGGCGUAAAGGACGCGUAGGCGGGUUAUUAAGUCGGGUGUGAAAUCCAAUGGCUCAACCAUUGAACUGCAUUCGAAACUGAUAACCUAGAGUAUGGAAGGGGCAGGUGGAAUUAGUGGUGUAGGGGUAAAAUCCGUAGAUAUCACUAGGAAUACCGAAAGCGAAGGCGACCUGCUGGGACAUUACUGACGCUGAGGCGUGAAAGCGUGGGGAGCAAACAGGAUUAGAUACCCUGGUAGUCCACGCCCUAAACGAUGAAUGCUAGUCGUCGGGGAGCUAGUCUCUUCGGUGAUGCACUUAACAGAUUAAGCAUUCCGCCUGGGGAGUACGGUCGCAAGAUUAAAACUCAAAGGAAUAGGCGGGGACCCGCACAAGUGGUGGAGCAUGUGGUUUAAUACGAAGAUACGCGAAGAACCUUACCUAGCCUUGACACUGAUUGAAUUUUCCAGAGAUGGANAAGUGCCUUUCGGGGAACAUGAAAACAGGUGCUGCACGGCUGUCGUCAGCUCGUGUCGUGAGAUGUUGGGUUAAGUCCCGCAACGAGCGCAACCCUCGUCGUUAGUUGCUAACAGGUUAAGCUGAGCACUCUAGCGAGACUGCCUUCGCAAGGNAGNANGAAGGUGAGGACGACNUCAAGUCAUCAUGGCCCUUAUGGCUAGGGCUACACNCGUGCUACAAUGGGGGCGUACAGAGAGUUGCGAUACCGCGAGGUGGAGCCAAUCUCAUAA
rnacentral:rRNA from 1 species